rnacentral:rRNA from 1 species
UACGUAGGUGGCAAGCGUUGUUCGGAAUUAUUGGGCGUAAAGGGCGCGUAGGCGGUUCGUUAAGUCAGAUGUGAAAGCCCCGGGCUCAACCUGGGAACUGCAUUUGAAACUGGCGGGCUUGAGUGUGGCAGAGGGGGGUGGAAUUCCGCGUGUAGCAGUGAAAUGCGUAGAGAUGCGGAGGAACACCGAUGGCGAAGGCAGCCCCCUGGGCCAACACUGACGCUCAGGCACGAAAGCGUGGGGAGCAAACAGG